rnacentral:rRNA from 1 species
GUCUACGGCUAUGCCACACUGAACGUGCCCGAUCUCAUCUGAUCUCAGAAGCUAAGCAGGGUCAGGGCUGGUUAGUACUUGGAUGGGAGACCACCUAGGAAUACCAGGUGCUGUAGGCA